ensembl:rRNA 5S_rRNA 5S ribosomal RNA
GCUUACGGCCAUACCACCCUGAGAACGCCCGAUCUCGUCUGAUCUCGGAAGCUAAGCAGGGUCAGGCCUGGUUAGUACUUGGAUGGGAUUCCGCCUGGGAAUACCAGGUGCUGUAAGCU